GACCAGUCUGAACUACUCAAACUGAGGAGAACUUCUCAGGAGACUCUGGCCAGCCUGGGAGGCUGAUCGGGCCUGACAUUGUGAUCCCCUAAGGCUACUGUAUCGUUCACCUGCCCUCUACCCACUCGAACACGCAGCCACUGUUUACUCUAUGCAGUCCUGGCUGCCAAGGAUGUAGAUCCUCCUGCCCUCAGCCAACUGAGCACAGGGGAGAGAGCCUUUCUAGAUGACCUAUUUUUCUGACUUAGAGUCUUUUGAAGUUCCACACACGAGGUGUAGCUGGACAUCACUCUUCUUCUGAAGCUAGCAGCUUUGAAGGUGUGUUCUGACCAGCAGCCCUCAGAACGGUCUUGUCUAACUCCCUAUGCAGCUCCGUGAGACAAAAUGGAAGUCACCAGCCCAAACCAGCCCAAGUCCAGACCUGAUGAAACUAGGAAGAUGGAGCCUCAUCCCCACUGCUUGAUGGUUUAGUCACCUCCCCCCUUGGGGCAAUCUCCUAUCCCUCGCAUUUAGACAGUUCUAGGGAGUUUGUGGAUUUGUCUUAAAACUAGAUGCUAGAGUUAGGGUGAAGGUGCAUGCCUAUAAUCCCAGGACUCUGGAGGCUUAGACUAGAGACUAGCCAUAAAUUCAAGGACAGCCGGGCCUCCAUGAGGAACAGUAGUCUAGCUUUGGUGGCUCUCUCUGUAAAACACAGAAAGUGAACAACAGGACUAAUGCUCAGUGUGCCCAGUGUACACAGUGGCUCUGGCUCUGGGUUCUUUAGCAUAAAAUAAAACCAGGUGGAGCAUGCUGGGAAUCCCAGUAUUGGGAGGCAGACACACGGGGAUCAAGGGAGUCAAGGUCAUCUUCCAACACAGAAAGUUUGAGGCCAGUCUAGGAGGAAAGAGACUAUAUUUUAAAAACAAACGACACCUACCCUCAAAUCUUAAUGCCCCAAUCUGAGAAAACAGUGACAUAGCAGCCCUUUCCAGCCACAUAUUCCUUGUGAAUCAAAAGAUCUUUCUGAAAGAAAAAAAUCAGGCAUCCAGAUGUGCAGGGUUAUUUCCUGUGACUCACGUCUGGAAUUUGCCUGAGCAUUGAGUUCAUCCUUGUGCACAGCACUGAGGAGCUGUUGGGUAAGUACUCCCUGCUGGCCCUGUGGGAGGCACUGACAGGAAGGUUUGGAGAGCAUGGAGACCCCCCACCUGUGCCAAUAAGAAAGGCAGGAAAGACUGGCUGCUGGUCCUGCCACCCGUUAGAAACCCUGAUGUUGAGCUGCCCCCUCGUGGCACUUCUGUACCAGUUCCGUGUUAGUGCACCUGGUUUGCUGGGGUCCCUGCUUCAGCUCCUGCCACAAACUGGGGUGACUGGGUGUGCUCGGAGGUGGGAUGGGGGGAGGCUUCCACUGCUCUGUAUCCAUCUGACAUGAUUUUAUCCUUCUUUACUUCAUUCCAUUUCUACAUUAUCCUAAUAAAAGGACAAAAUGUUCUGCCCAGGGGAUGUCCCUGAAGAAACUUCAUAGACCACAUUGCUGGUUCUUCCUGGCCCUGCUGUCCAUAACGAGAAAUGAUUGCCACUAAGCAAGAGUGUGAAAUCGACACCCUGGGCGAGAUUCAGAAGCACAAGAAGCCCGAGACAGUGACUGUCUGUCUGUACAAUGCCUGUUUACCUUGUUUGGUAUGAGUUCAUUGUGCAGAAUGCAAGGAAAAGGACCGGCAGGCUUGCUGAAGCUGGCCACCCCGGCACCUGGAGAUGGAGAUAGGAAUCCUGGCUUACCCACAGAACCCGGUCUAUACAAAAAUAAACAAGAAAACAAGGUGAAGGGAAAAGAGGAAGCAGCACAAAGUUAGUUGAAGAAGCAGAUAGAAGAUCUGACCUCUGCAGGAGCAUCCUGGUGGCCAGACCUAGGAGAAUGAGACAGGAUGCUGCUGCUGAGAACACUGGUGGUCCUUUCUGGAUGCUAGAUGGUUGGCAGAGCCCAGCAAGCCAAGCUUUGGGGAAUCUUAUUACUUCUGAGUAGAAUUCAGUUGGUGGGCUGACAAGGUGAUCCCAGCUUUGUCAGCACUGUGGGUCACCUGGAUGUCUCACCUCUCUGUAGUACGGGACUAGGCUCCAAAAAAGAAAAUAAGGAUAAGUUGAAUAUGGUAGCACAUGUCUUUAAUCCCAGCACUCAGGAGGCAGAAGCAAGAGGAUCUCUGUGGGUUAAAGGCCAGUGCAUAUAUGGAGUUUCAGGACUACAGAGAGACCCUGUCUCAAAACAAUGACAAAAAACAAAAUCAAAGAUUGGUUGAGGGAAAAAAAGAGAGAAGGAGUUAAAGACAUCACACACUAGUUGAGUGUGUAUACACUAACAUGACCACACAUGUACAUACACUACACACACACACACACACACACACACAAGCUAGGUUGGUGGCCCAUGCCUAUGCUUGAGUUCUUCCCAAGGUCCUGCACAUAUAAUCCCAUCACUGCAAAAAUAAGUAAAUAAAAGUAAUAAUUUAAAGUAGGGACAGUUAAAUAGAACUCCAGCAGCACAGACACUGAGAGAAACAAUAAAUGGGAC